CCUACGGGGGGCAGCAGUGGGGAAUAUUGGACAAUGGGGGCAACCCUGAUCCAGCCAUGCCGCGUGUGUGAAGAAGGCCCUCGGGUUGUAAAGCACUUUCAGUGAGGAAGAACGCCUGGUGGUUAAUACCCAUCAGGAAAGACAUCACUCACAGAAGAAGCACCGGCUAACUCCGUGCCAGCAGCCGCGGUAAUACGAGGGUGCGAGCGUUAAUCGGAAUUACUGGGCGUAAAGCGCGCGUAGGUGGCUUGAUAAGCCGGUUGUGAAAGCCCCGGGCUCAACCUGGGAACGGCAUCCGGAACUGUCUAGCUAGAGGGCAUGAGAGGAAAGUAGAAUUCCCGGUGUAGCGGUGAAAUGCGUAGAUAUCGGGAGGAAUACCAGUGGCGAAGGCGGCCUUCUGGACUGACACUCACACUGAGGUGCGAAAGCGUGGGUAGCAAACAGGAUUAGAUACCCUAGUAGUC
rnacentral:rRNA from 1 species